AAUGUAUGAAGUAAAUAAAACAAUGCACACUUUAAAAAGUUACACGACAUGAAAAGGUUUGACCUAGUUCUAGAUAGUAUUAUUGUAUUAUAAUUAGUGUCAAAAUUGUAUUAUCAUUUUAUUUUAGGUUCAAUAAUCAGUAACGUCCAUACACCGGCUGUCAUCCGAUCACCGAUCGGGCGUGGUCAGUACUUGGAUGGUACCACCCGGGAACACAGCGUAAUCGCGUAGGCUUUGUAUUGUUUAGCUUGUACAUAGCCGCAAUAUCUACAUAAUUAUAAUAUGUCAUUGCGAUAUAAAUACGCAGCCGUCAACCUAAUCAUGUGAGACGACGCCACCCGCAAACUACGCAAAUAAAUAAAGCGACAGAAUUUAUCGACAACCAUUGCUUCUCUUUACGUUUCACAGCGGGAUGGUUAUGAGCCAAAGUUGAGAAGCCCUGACGUACAAGUUGCAAAGUUUGCAGACUAGUUUCAGUCGACGGAUGAUCCUUGUAUGAGAAUAGGAAAUGGUUAUGUCUUGGAUUCCGAAGCCAAGUUUGAAUGGUCCAAAUGGCAGGCGUUAUAGACGCUCCGUUUACGAAGUUUAUUGUCUUCAAUGCUCUCGAGCGAGAAAUAUAUGGAUAUAAAGACGAAACUGUUGAUGUCAAAAAUAUUGAAGAACGAUGGAUUUGGAAAAUAUCGGAAAUAAUAGUAACAAUUAGACUGUUUAAAGGUGCGUUAUGUGAUUUAUUUGUAAAAUAAUUGUACUUAAUAUAAAAUAUAAGGUUCA